rnacentral:misc_RNA from 1 species
GAUAAGAACGUAGUGAAAUGCGAUAAGUAGUGUGAAUUGCAGAAUUCAGUGAAUCAUCGAAUCUUUGAACGCACAUUGCGCCCCUUGGUAUCCCGAGGGGCAUGCCUGUUCGAGCGUCAUUUCACCACUCAAGCCUGGCUUGGUGUUGGGCGACGUCCCCUUUGGGGACGCGCCUCGAAACGCUCGGCGGCGUGGCACCGGCUUUAAGCGUAGCAGAAUCUUUCGCUUUGGAAGUCGGGGCCCCGUCUGCCGGAAGACCUACUCGCAAGGUUGACCUCGGAUCAGGCAGGGAUACCCGCUGAACUUAAGCAUAUCAAUAAGCGGAGGA